GUCUCCACCACGUACGCUCCAACUUAGGAGAAAAAGAGCCAGGGUCAGAGGUGAAUAUCUGUGGGAAUGCAGACGUCCUGCGGCGCUGGAACUGUCACUGCUCUGAGAAACUGGUCUGUAACAUAAAUAAUCACACAGUGAUCAGCCUGGGACAAUAUUCUCGAGGAGAGAGCACAAUACCCUCCACCCCAAGGCAACCGGGCCUGAAACAAUACCGCACAGGCUAAAACAACAUCCCAGCCAGUUCUGAGCCGACUCUGGGGUUUGGGUAAGGCUCGAAGCAACAACGCUCGGCAAGCAGCACCACACAAUGACUGCAUUGGGAAAUGAUCCAUCAGGAGCUGACGCAGAUCAAUUCAAGCCUAAAAUAUGGUUAAGCAUGAUGUUGAACCUCUGACUGAGGCCUGGACCGCAGCCACCAGGCUAUUCAUGCUUUGCGACCUGAUCCACAGAUGCCCUUUAAAUCCUGCAUGCUCACUGCUAUAAACCUCUCAAGUAGUGUAAACACAGACACACACGUUUAAAACAGGCUGUCCAGUACACAAAUAAACAUACAGGAAAAGUCACAUCGCUUACUGGACAGACGCCCGGUGACCAGGGCGGGAGGAAAAAAUUAUAAUCAUGCAAUGCAUUGCAUGCAUUCAGCUCAGGUUAUGGAAAAUUCCCAGUAAGUACCAACUGGAGAGGGAAGCUUGAAGUAGUGCAAAAACUGGUGUAGAGCGCCCUCCUGUGACGGAACAGCUGAACUAGAAAUGCUGGGUGAUGAAACCACUCAACAACCAAUUACGCUUUCAUGGCGUAAAAGGAUCAGCAAUAAAGUGGA